rnacentral:rRNA from 1 species
GAAUUGACGGGGGCCCGCACAAGCGGUGGAGCAUGUGGUUUAAUUCGAUGCAACGCGAAGAACCUUACCUGGUCUUGACAUCCACGGAAGUUUUCAGGGAUGAGAAUGUGCCUUCGGGAACCGUGAGACAGGUGCUGCAUGGCUGUCGUCAGCUCGUGUUGUGAAAUGUUGGGUUAAGUCCCGCAACGAGCGCAACCCUUAUCCUUUGUUGCCAGCGGUCCGGCCGGGAACUCAAAGGAGACUGCCAGUGAUAAACUGGAGGAAGGUGGGGAUGACGUCAAGUCAUCAUGGCCCUUACGACCAGGGCUACACACGUGCUACAAUGGCGCAUACAAAGAGAAGCGACCUCGCGAGAGCAAGCGGACCUCAUAAAGUGCGUCGUAGUCCGGAUUGGAGUCUGCAACCCGACUCCAUGAAGUCGGAAUCGCUAGUAAUCGUGGAUCAGAAUGCCACGGUGAAUACGUUCCCGGGCCUUGUACACACCGCCCGUCACACCAUGGGAGUGGGUUGCAAAAGAAGUAGGUAGCUUAACCUUCGGGAGGGCGCUUACCACUUUGUGA